rnacentral:rRNA from 1 species
AUGGCCGUGGGGACGUGCGGAGAACCGGCCGAGAGACACGAGCGGCACCGUGUCGACGCUCGAUCCUGUGGGCAAGUCUUCUCGUCGCCGGUCGCGCCGCAUGCCACAGCAGGCACAGUCGCAUCAUUCCGAACGCGAGAAAGUCCGUCGCCUGACAGACAAACCCGGCAUGGCCGGCGAUUGAUGGCGGCCCCUCCCCUGGCAGCCGGUCGGCUCCGUCUCCGGCCCCGGGCAGGCAGGGCGAUGAUGCCACUGGAGAGGCGCCGUUCGCGGACACUGCAUGAGUGUUGGGAGCAGAAGCACUGCACCGUCCAGGUAAUACCCACAGGGUUUCUGUCUCUGAGCCCGAGCAGUCAGUCAGCUUGUGUCUGCUUUCCAUGUUUGGACUACGCUGCGCCGUUAGAGGAUGUAACCGAAGCCCUAAACGGUGACCGAUCACCCCUCGCAUGUCCCGUCACCAACCGUCUCCGUCAUUAG